CCGAUAUAUCUCUAUCUGAGUCCAUGUAUAUGAAUACCAGAAGUUUAUAGAAAUUUGAGGUAUAACGAGUAAAAAUAGCGUUAAGCUUUUAAUGAUUUUAUAAUAAUUUGGGUGGGGGGUACAGAAAUCGAAUUCACUUAAAAUCCUCAAAGAAAAUCGCUAGAUUAUUUAUGAAUCAUGAUAAAUGGAUUAUCCUGUAUACUCAAACAUAGUUGAUUUUUGAAUGGAAAAAGGGAGGAUUAAACAUGGUAAAAUUACAAAUUAGGUAGAAUGGAUUGAAAUUAUUUUUGUUUAGGAUUUAUUUCGGUAUACAAGGCUAUAUUGAUUGAUAUUCGAAUAUCGAGAAAACGUCAUAGUGAGCAUUUGCUACCUUUAUUUAAUGGACAAUAUGUAGCGAAAACAUUUUCGCGUAAAACGAACGAAAAUGCUUUUAAAUCGGUUUUGGAGACGAGACACAUACUUUUUUUUUCUCGACAAAUUUUUAGACGACAAUGUUUUGUAUCUCUUCGGCUUUUUUUUUUUUUUUUUAAUAUUAACUAUAAACAAUAAAACAGAAAAAUAAAAUUCAUACACUGUUAUGUGCAUUAUCCCAUGAUGAUACCGCGAGCUUAAAGGCAUUUUUGUAAUAUAUCCCCGUUCGAAAGACAAAUACGGCAAACGCCACUGUAACGUUUAAUGAGUAUAUAGUAUUUUUUUUAAGUCGUAUAAACGAUUUGUUUGCAAACGCCAUGUAUAUAGGUAUACAGGGCAUAUCUACAGGAUUUGACAAUAUUCCACACGUAGAGACGGUUGGAAAUUGUCAAAUUCUGCAGAUACAAUCUAUA